rnacentral:rRNA from 1 species
GACAGAGGGUGCAAACGUUGUUCGGAAUUACUGGGCGUAAAGCGCGUGUAGGCGGUCAGGCGAGUCGGAUGUGAAAUCCCGUGGCUCAACUACGGAAGUGCACCCGAAACUGCUUGACUUGAGUCCCGGAGAGGAAGGCGGAAUGCUUGGUGUAGAGGUGAAAUUCGUAGAUAUCAAGCGGAACACCGGUGGCGAAGGCGGCCUUCUGGACGAGGACUGACGCUGAGAAGCGAAAGCGUGGGGAGCAAACAGG